rnacentral:rRNA from 1 species
AGUGAACGCUGGCGGUAGGCCUAACACAUGCCAGUCGAACGGCCGCACAGUAAGAUCUUGCUCUUACGGGUGGCGAGUGGCGGACGGGUGAGGAAUACAUCGGAAUCUACUUUUUCUUGGGGGAUAACGUAGGGAAACUUCCGCUAAUACCUCAUACGACCUACGGGUGAAAGCAGGGGAUCUUCGGACCUUGCGUGAUUCAUUUAGCCGAUGUCGGAUUAGCUAGUUGGCGAGGUAAAGGCCCACCAAGGCGACGAUCCGUAGCUGGUCUGAGAGGAUGAUCGGCCACACUGGAACUGAGACACGGUCCAGACUCCUACGGGAGGCAGCAGUAGGGAAUAUUGGACAAUGGGCGAAAGCCUGAUCCAGCCAUACCGCGUGGGUGAAGAAGGCCUUCGGGUUGUAAAGCCCUUUUGUUGGGAAAGAAAAACAGCAGAUUAAUACACCGCUGUUCUGACGGUACCCAAAGAAUAAGCACCGGCUAACUUCGUG